rnacentral:rRNA from 1 species
GUGGGGAAUAUUGGACAAUGGGCGCAAGCCUGAUCCAGCAAUGCCGCGUGGGUGAAGAAGGUCUUCGGAUCGUAAAGCCCUUUCGACAGGGACGAUGAUGACGGUACCUGUAGAAGAAGCCCCGGCUAACUUCGUGCCAGCAGCCGCGGUAAUACGAAGGGGGCUAGCGUUACUCGGAAUUACUGGGCGUAAAGGGCGCGUAGGCGGCUCUGUUAGUCAGGCGUGAAAUUCCUGGGCUUAACCUGGGGACUGCGCUUGAUACUGCAGGGCUUGAGGCCGAGAGAGGGUGGUGGAAUUCCCAGUGUAGAGGUGAAAUUCGUAGAUAUUGGGAAGAACACCGGUGGCGAAGGCGACCACCUGGCUCGGUUCUGACGCUGAGGCGCGACAGCGUGGGGAGCAAACAGGAUUAGAAACCCGGGUAGUCC